GGAAAGGCGCGCGAUACAGGGUGACAGCCCCGUACACAAAAAUGCACAUGCUGUGAGCUCGAUGAGUAGGGCGGGACACGUGGUAUCCUGUCUGAAUAUGGGGGGACCAUCCUCCAAGGCUAAAUACUCCUGACUGACCGAUAGUGAACCAGUACCGUGAGGGAAAGGCGAAAAGAACCCCGGCGAGGGGAGUGAAAAAGAACCUGAAACCGUGUACGUACAAGCAGUGGGAGCACGCUUAGGCGUGUGACUGCGUACCUUUUGUAUAAUGGGUCAGCGACUUAUAUUCUGUAGCAAGGUUAACCGAAUAGGGGAGCCGAAGGGAAACCGAGUCUUAACUGGGCGUUAAGUUGCAGGGUAUAGACCCGAAACCCGGUGAUCUAGCCAUGGGCAGGUUGAAGGUUGGGUAACACUAACUGGAGGACCGAACCGACUAAUGUUGAAAAAUUAGCGGAUGACUUGUGGCUGGGGGUGAAAGGCCAAUCAAACCGGGAGAUAGCUGGUUCUCCCCGAAAGCUAUUUAGGUAGCGCCUCGUGAAUUCAUCUCCGGGGGUAGAGCACUGUUUCGGCAAGGGGGUCAUCCCGACUUACCAACCCGAUGCAAACUGCGAAUACCGGAGAAUGUUAUCACGGGAGACACACGGCGGGUGCUAACGUCCGUCGUGAAGAGGGAAACAACCCAGACCGCCAGCUAAGGUCCCAAAGUCAUGGUUAAGUGGGAAACGAUGUGGGAAGGCCCAGACAGCCAGGAUGUUGGCUUAGAAGCAGCCAUCAUUUAAAGAAAGCGUAAUAGCUCACUGGUCGAGUCGGCCUGCGCGGAAGAUGUAACGGGGCUAAACCAUGCACCGAAGCUGCGGCAGCGACGCUGAUGCGUUGUUGGGUAGGGGAGCGUUCUGUAAGCCUGCGAAGGUGUG
rnacentral:rRNA from 1 species